rnacentral:rRNA from 1 species
CGCCUCUUGAACCCUAUAAGAGGUCCAGCCUGCCCAUUGAUAAAUUUAACGGCCGCGGUAUCCUGACCGUGCGAAGGUAGCACAAUCACUUGUUCUCUAAAUAAGGACUAGUAUGAACGGCAUCACGAGGGCUUAACUGUCUCCCCCUUCUUAUUAGUGAAACUGAUCUUCCCAUGAAAAAGCGGGAAUAAAAAUAUAAGACGAGAAGACCCCAUGGAGCUUUAAACUUAAACUAACUGUUCCUCCCCCCACCACAGUAAAAAACAAUCCUAGUUUUUAAGUUUUUGGUUGGGGCAACCGCGGAGUAUAACUAACCCUCCGCAAUGGAUGAAUAUAUCUUCUUAACAAAGAAUAACCCUUCUUAGCAUCAAAAAACUGAUAUUUCUUGACCCAUCACACAGUGUUUGAUCAAUGAACCAAGUUACCCUGGGGAUAACAGCGCAAUCCAUUAUUAGAGCUCCCAUCGACUAAUGGGUUUACGACCUCGAUGUUGGAUCAGGGUAUCCAAGUGGUGCAGCCGCUACUAAAGGUUCGUUUGUUCAACGAUUAAAACCCU